rnacentral:rRNA from 1 species
AGUGAACGCUGGCGGCAGGCCUAACACAUGCAAGUCGAACGGACGCACAGUAAGUGCUUGCUCUUACGGGUGGCGCGUGGCGGACGGGUGCGGUAUACAUCGGAUUCUACUUUUUCGUGGGGGAUAACGCCGGGAAACUUAUGCUAAUACCGCAUACGACCUCCGGGUGGAAGCAGGCGUCCUUUGAACCUUUCGCGUGUGAUUGUGCCGCAGUCGGACUAGCUAGUUGGCGUGGUAAGGGCGCACCAAGGCGACGAUCCGUAGCUGGUCUGAGAGGAUGAUCAGCCACACUGGAAGUGAGACACGGUCCAGACUCCUACGGGAGGCAGCAGUAGGGAAUCUUGGGCAAUGGGGGAGAGCCUGAUCCAGCCAAACCGGGUAAGGGAAGAAGGACUUAGGGUGGGAAAGCCCUGUUGUUGGGAAAGAAAAGAAGUUGUUUAACACCCGGCUGUACUGACGGUACCCGAAGAAUAAGCACCGGCUAACUUCGUG